GAUGAACGUUAGCGGGAGGCUUAAUACAUGCAAGUCGAGCGGUAAGUUUUUAUAGCAAUAUGAAGACCUAGAGCGGCGCACGGGUGAGUAACGCGUACACGACCUGGCCUAAACUGGGGGAUAGCCUUGGGAAACUGAGAGUAAUCCCGCAUGUGAUUAUGUUACUGAUGGUGAUAUAAUUAAAGCUUCGGCGGUUUAGGAUGGGUGUGCGUCUGAUUAGCUAGUUGGUAGUGUAACGGACUACCAAGGCGAUGAUCAGUAGGGGGCGUGAGAGCGUGACCCCCCACACGGGUACUGAGACACGGACCCGACUCCUACGGGAGGCAGCAGUAAGGAAUAUUGGUCAAUGCCCGGAAGGGUGAACCAGCCAUCCCGCGUGAAGGAUGAAGGGGCUCUGCCUUGUAAACUUCUUUUGUAUGGGGCGAAAAAAGGGGAUUUAUCCUCGACUGACGGUACCAUAAGAAUAAAGCACCGGCUAACUCCGUGCCCAGCCAGCCGCGGUAAUCUAGUCUACG
rnacentral:rRNA from 1 species